rnacentral:rRNA from 1 species
GGUGGUGCAUGGCCGUUCUUAGUUGGUGGAGCGAUUUGUCUGGUUAAUUCCGAUAACGAACGAGACUCUAGCCUAUUAAAUAGGCUCCCGGCUUUUAAACGCCGGGAGGACUUCUCAGAGGGACAGGUGGCGGUUCAGCCGCACGAAAGAGAGCAAUAACAGGUCUGUGAUGCCCUUUGUUGUCCGGGGCCGCACGCGCGCUACACUGAAGAGAUCAGCGUGCUUUAUGUUCCUGCUCCGACCGGAGUGGGGAACCCAGUGAACCUUCUUCGUGAUUGGGAUAGAAGAUUGUAAUUAUUCUUCUUGAACGAGGAAUUCCCAGUAAACGCGAGUCAUAAGCUCGCGUUGAUUACGUCCCUGCCCUUUGUACACACCGCCCGUCGCU